UGGCAGGAGCCAUGGCUCCUAUACCUGUGUAUAUACUUGUGUCAGAAAACGUCUUAUAUUAAGUUAUGGAGGGAGUAUAUGCUUGUUUAAUGUUUCAAUCUCUCAAAUUUAAGGGAAAAACAUGUAUUAGUGUGAUUUGGCCCCUGUUAUCAAAAGUUUGAGCCAUUUGGGCUCCCUCAUCUAUGAUCCUGGCUCCACCACUGCUGUGACCCAAAAAAAAUUGGCAAGCCAAAUCAUGUAGAGUACAUCGUAGUGCUUUAGGUUUGAGCAAUAGGCUGCAUCACCAAAGACACCAAAGUCCUGUCCCUUGAUUCUGUUUGGAAUCAGCAUAUUGCAGCACCCUGAUUGCCGAGCAGUAUGAUCGUUCCUUUUUCAGAAAUAACCUUCAUUAAAAACAGCAAAAUCACAUCUCAGAUCACUGUCUGCAAACAUUAGCAGGAUGAACGCCUAAAAAGGUGGUAUAAAGGGGGUAAGAGAGAUUUAAAGAACAUAUUGCUGCCUCAAAUGGAUGUCAAUAUAUAUGGAUGUGUAGAUAAGGGAUGUCGAUAAAAGUCAGCCAUUACAAGGAAAAUCACAUUCUAGUAUAUAGAGUAAGGCUAUAGCCUAUACGGAAGUGGACCAUGCUAGUUAGUACUCCCUCAGUCCCUUUGUUCACAAAUAUAAGAUGUUUUGGAUGUUUCAAUAUGGACUACAUACGGACUGAAAUGAGUGAACAAACACACUAAAACGUGUCUAUAUGCAUCAGAAAAAAGUUAGAACAUCUUAUAUUUGUGAAUGGAGGGAGUAUACAGGAAGGGUAUUGCAGCGACCAACAAAUUGCAUGUCGCAACCUUUUACCAUUUGUUUCUUUUAGAACAUUUAACAUUUUUUUACCCGGAAAAGCGGGAGAGGCUCCCGCGGUAAACUUCCUAUUGAAUUAUGGGGAAAAAAAUUGGAUAAGCAUGUACAAGAACCUUUUAAUAUUUGAUAAUAGUGAUGAUAUGACCAGAUGGUUCAAACAAAAAGAGCAAAUCAAAAGGCAAAUGAAACAACUUAC
rnacentral:lncRNA from 1 species